rnacentral:tRNA from 1 species
CUGAACAGGCGGGCCUCGAUCCCGCAAACAUUAGUUAACAGCUAACAACCCAAACCAGCGGGCUUCAAUUCG